rnacentral:rRNA from 1 species
AGUGGGAGCACCCUUCGGGGUGUGACUGCGUACCUUUUGUAUAAUGGGUCAGCGACUUAUAUUCUGUAGCAAGGUUAACCGUAUAGGGGAGCCGGAGGGAAACCGAGUCUUAAUUGGGCGUUAAGUUGCAGGGUAUAGACCCGAAACCCGGUGAUCUAGCCAUGGGCAGGUUGAAGGUUGGGUAACACUAACUGGAGGACCGAACCGACUAAUGUUGAAAAAUUAGCGGAUGACCUGUGGCUGGGGGUGAAAGGCCAAUCAAACCGGGAGAUAGCUGGUUCUCCCCGAAAGCUAUUUAGGUAGCGCCUCGUGAAUUCAUCUCCGGGGGUAGAGCACUGUUUCGGCUAGGGGGCCAUCCCGGCUUACCAACCCGAUGCAAACUGCGAAUACCGGAGAAUGUUAUCACGGGAGACACACGGCGGGUGCUAACGUCCGUCGUGAAGAGGGAAACAACCCAGACCGCCAGCUAAGGUCCCAAAGUCAUGGUUAAGUGGGAAACGAUGUGGGAAGGCCCAGACAGCCAGGAUGUUGGCUUAGAAGCAGCCAUCAUUUAAAGAAAGCGUAAUAGCUCACUGGUCGAGUCGGCCUGCGCGGAAGAUGUAACGGGGCUAAACCAUGCACCGAAGCUGCGGCAGCGAACGUAUCACCCAAGACAACUUUACGGAGUUGACGAUUGACGGAGCGAAGCGACGUCAAAGCGUUCAUUAAAGUCGAGUUGGCUUAGGGAUACGUUCGUUGGGUAGGGGAGCGUUCUGUAAGCCUGUGAAGGUGUGUCGUGAGGCAUGCUGGAGGUAUCAGAAGUGCGAAUGCUGACAUAAGUAACGAUAAAGCGGGUGAAAAGCCCGCUCGCCGGAAGACCAAGGGUUCCUGUCCAACGUUAAUCGGGGCAGGGUGAGUCGACCCCUAAGGCGAGGCCGAAAGGCGUAGUCGAUGGGAAACGGGUUAAUAUUCCCGUACUUGGUGUUACUGCGAAGGGGGGACGGAGAAGGCUAUGUUGGCCGGGCGACGGUUGUCCCGGUUUAAGCGUGUAGGUGUGUGUUCCAGGUAAAUCCGGUUCACUUUAACACUGAGGCGUGACGACGAGGCACUACGGUGCUGAAGCAACAAAUGCCCUGCUUCCAGGAAAA